rnacentral:rRNA from 1 species
UACGGGGGGGGCAAGCGUUGUUCGGAAUUACUGGGCGUAAAGGGCGCGUAGGCGGCCUGCUAAGUCGGACGUGAAAUCCCUCGGCUCAACCGAGGAACUGCGUCCGAUACUGGUGGGCUUGAAUCCGGGAGAGGGAUGUGGAAUUCCAGGUGUAGCGGUGAAAUGCGCAGAUAUCAGGAGGAACACCGGUGGCGAAGGCGGGUCUCUGGGCCGAUACUGACGCUGAGGAGCGAAAGCGUGGGGAGCGAACAGG